rnacentral:rRNA from 1 species
AGUCGAACGCACCCUUCGGGGUGAGUGGCAGACGGGUGAGUAACGCGUGGGAACGUACCCUUUGGUUCGGAAUAGCCCUUGGAAACGAGGAGUAAUACCGAAUGAGCCCUACGGGGGAAAGAUUUAUCGCCGAAGGAUCGGCCCGCGUUAGAUUAGCUAGUUGGUGAGGUAAUGGCUCACCAAGGCGACGAUCUAUAGCUGGUUUGAGAGGAUGAUCAGCCACACUGGGACUGAGACACGGCCCAGACUCCUACGGGAGGCAGCAGUGGGGAAUCUUGGACAAUGGGGGCAACCCUGAUCCAGCCAUGCCGCGUGAAUGAUGAAGGCCUUAGGGUUGUAAAAUUCUUUCAGUGGGGAAGAUAAUGACGGUACCCACAGAAGAAGCCCCGGCUAACUCCGUGCCAGCAGCCGCGGUAAUACGGAGGGGGCUAGCGUUGUUCGGAAUUACUGGGCGUAAAGCGCGCGUAGGCGGACUAGCCAGUCAGAGGUGAAAGCCCAGGGCUCAACCCUGGAACUGCCUUUGAUACUGUUAGUCUGGAGUCCGGGAGAGGUGUGUGGAAUUCCGAGUGUAGAGGUGAAAUUCGUAGAU